ACUCCGUGAGGAAGCCUGCAGCGGACGCAAGACGCCGAACAGGACCAUCUGUGUUUCUCUCUCUUCCUCUGUGCUACACGCCGAAGAACAGGAUCCUACACGGAGAUCUCAUCAGGUGUUUGUCCCACUGAGAGACUCUUCAGGGUCCUGAAACCUCCUCCUAGAUACGCCACCAAUCAUCGCUGGAGUACCACCAACUA